ACGCUGGCGGCGUGCCUAAUACAUGCAAGUAGAACGCUGAAGGAAGGAGCUUGCUCUUUCCGGAUGAGUAGCGAACGGGUGAGUAACGCGUAGGUAACCUGCCUGGUAGCGGGGGAUAACUAUUGGAAACGAUAGCUAAUACCGCAUAACAGUAGAUAUCGCAUGAUAGCUGCUUGAAAGGUGCAAUUGCACCACUACCAGAUGGACCUGCGUUGUAUUAGCUAGUUGGUGAGGUAACGGCUCACCAAGGCAACGAUACAUAGCCGACCUGAGAGGGUGAUCGGCCACACUGGGACUGAGACACGGCCCAGACUCCUACGGGAGGCAGCAGUAGGGAAUCUUCGGCAAUGGACGGAAGUCUGACCGAGCAACGCCGCGUGAGUGAAGAAGGUUUUCGGAUCGUAAAGCUCUGUUGUAAGAGAAGAACGAGUGUGAGAGUGGAAAGUUCACACUGUGACGGUAUCUUACCAGAAAGGGACGGCUAACUACGUGCCAGCAGCCGCGGUAAUACGUAGGUCCCGAGCGUUGUCCGGAUUUAUUGGGCGUAAAGCGAGCGCAGGCGGUUAGAUAAGUCUGAAGUUAAAGGCUGUGGCUUAACCAUAGUACGCUUUGGAAACUGUUUAACUUGAGUGCAAGAGGGGAGAGUGGAAUUCCAUGUGUAGCGGUGAAAUGCGUAGAUAUAUGGAGGAACACCGGUGGCGAAAGCGGCUCUCUGGCUUGUAACUGACGCUGAGGCUCGAAAGCGUGGGGAGCAAACAGGAAUAGAUACCCUGGUAGUCCACGCCGUAAACGAUGAGUGCUAGGUGUUAGACCCUUUCCGGGGUUUAGUGCCGUAGCUAACGCAUUAAGCACUCCGCCUGGGGAGUACGACCGCAAGGUUGAAACUCAAAGGAAUUGACGGGGGCCCGCACA
rnacentral:rRNA from 1 species